UGUUCGAGCAGAGGAGAAGAAAAGAGGGGGAGCCCUCUCAAACCCUAAAUCACAGAAUCAGAGUGGAAUUCAAGAUUGAAUCUUGUGCAUGGACCUAAAUACACGAUCAUCUAGCCCUAACAAACACAUGGAUAGGCCCUCGGAAAUGUGGACUUAUACCUUCGGAGUUAGCAAGACAAGGGAAGCGGUAUAUCAAGUAAGAAGCAUGGGGUCUAUGAGGUGACGUGGACUUAGCAUCAUUAUGAAGAAAAGAAGGUUUGAAGACCGAGUCAGGAGCGAGGGUUGUACGGGAAGGAUCGGUCACAUAGUUUGACAAAUAUAGGUCCUGAAGCAUUAAUAUAAUAGAACGUGGUAAAUCCUUUUUAAUGAGUGUAUGACAUUCUGUAUUUGAACCUCCCUGUAAGUAUUAUGU